AGAGUUUGAUCAUGGCUCAGAACGAACGCUGGCGGCAGGCCUCAAACAUGCAAGUCUAGGGGGUGUAGCAAUACAUCACCGGCGGACGGGUGCGUAACGCGUGGGAAUAUACCUAUUGGUUCGGAACAACUGAGGGAAACUUCAGCUAAUACCGAAUGUGUCCUAACGGAGAAAGAUUUAUCGCCAAUAGAUUAGCCCGCGUUCGAUUAGCUAGUUGGUGGGGUAAUGGCUCACCAAGGCGACGAUCGAUAGCUGUUCUGAGAGGAAGAUCAGCCACACUGGGACUGAGACACGGCCCAGACUCCUACGGGAGGCAGCAGUUGGGAAUCUUGGACAAUGGGGGAAACCCUGAUCCAGCCAUGCCGCGUGAGUGAUGAAGGCCUUCGGGUUGUAAAACUCUUUCGCGCACGACGAUAAUGACGGUAGUGCGAGAAGAAGCUCCGGCUAACUUCGUGCCAGCAGCCGCGGUAAUACGAAGGGGGCUAGCGUUGUUCGGAAUUACUGGGCGUAAAGCGCGCGCAGGCGGUCUUCCAAGUCAGUGGUGAAAGCCCGGAGCUCAACUCCGGAACUGCCAUUGAAACUGUGAGACUUGAGUAUGAGAGAGGUGAGUGGAAUUCCCAGUGUAGAGGUGAAAUUCGUAGAUAUUGGGAAGAACACCGGUGGCGAAGGCGGCUCACUGGCUCAUUACUGACGCUCAGGCGCGACAGCGUGGGGAUCAAACAGGAUUAGAUACCCUAGUAGUCC
rnacentral:rRNA from 1 species